AGUCUUCUUGGGUCUGAUUCAAAACUGUGCAUUUAAAUGUCAUUUGCUUGGAAGUGUUUCAAAUCCUCUGUGAUCCCUUGGUGCUAUUGAAGUUAGUUGAGGGUCUGCAAUAGGUAACUGAUCAGUCUACCACUAUCAGCACUAUCACUUAGGACGCUUGAAUUACUUUGUUUGCUUUUGAUAUUGGAAUGCUUUGGUGGCGCUUUAGAUUCAUGAGUUCCCUUGUCUCGUACUGUUGUUUUAAAUACUGCACAAAUGUUGUCUCGUACUAUGACAGAGUGUUCUACUUUUAAAAAAUAAUAAUAUUACUCACUGUUGUUUUCUUUGGUGGAAUGUAUACAGAGAGUUGCGUUAUCUACAGCUGCUAAUAUGUGUAGGAAGCUUCAAAAGAUACGGUUUGUAUACGCCUCCUAGGAGGGUUACAUCCGUAGAGCAGAUACUAUCUUGUUAUUUUUAAGUGAUAACUAUCCUGGUGGACUUUGCUCAGUAUAUGAUAGGUUCCCUAGCUGAAAUUGCGAGUGGAAGGAGACUCUUUGCGGAUAACUAUGAUCAAAAGACUAAGGAGACAAAGAUGGGUAUAAUGCAGGUGACACCUGAAGUUGCUCAAUGGCUUGGCAGGGAACUCGGAUACAAGAAUUAUGACAUUGAACUUGAAGAAAAUAUGGAUUUGCUCUAGGCCUUUCAUAAAUGUCUACUUUGGUGCUGCUUACGCGAAGUGUCCCUUCUCAUGCGAUGAAAAAUCAAGAAGAAAUCCAAAAGAUGCUGCUGAUUUUUUGUCCAGUCAUCAUGAGCUUCCUACAGAAAUAGAUACAAAUUUACAUCCUGAGGUGGACCUGGAGGGUUUCCUAUUCCAAUAGAAGUACAUGCUCAUGACCCUCUCCGUUAUGUAGGCGAUAUGCUGGGCUGGCUGCAUCAGAUGCACCGUUCACCUGUAACUUGAAGAUGUUUCUUUAGUUGGCCUUUAUACUCGUCUACCUCUAAUGUUUGAAGGCACUAGCAUCUGAAAGAGAGCUUAUAGCUGGGAAGCUUGAUCCUGAGGCAGUGACAGUGGUCUAGCUAUUAGUCGUCAACUCAUCAUUUUGUACGAUUCAUCCAAAGGAGAAUCUGAUAUUACUUCUCUGACAUUUCUUGAACUUCUAAUGUGGAAUGUGUACUGUGUGUACUGCCCACCA